GACGAACGCUGGCGGCGUGCUUAACACAUGCAAGUCGAGCGGUAAGGCCCUUUCGGGGGUACGACGAGCGGCGAACGGGUGAGUAACACGUGGGUGACCUGCCCUCCAGCUCUGGGAGUAAGCCUGGGAAACCGGGGUCUAAUACCGGAUAUGACUCCAUGACGCAUGUUGUGGGGUGGAAAGCCUUGUGCGGCUGAGGAUGGGCCCGCGGCCUAUCAGCUUGUUGGUGGGGUGAUGGCCUACCAAGGCGACGACGGGUAGCCGGCCUGAGAGGGCGACCGGCCACACUGGGACUGAGACACGGCCCAGACUCCUACGGGAGGCAGCAGUGGGGAAGUCUUGCGCAAUGGGCGAAAGCCUGACGCAGCGACGCCGCGUGAGGGA
rnacentral:rRNA from 1 species